GGACAUCAAACUCAAAUCCGUCGCAGCCGUCGGCCAGGGCGCGAUCGAACGAGGCCAGCGUGUUUUCCGGAAUCGAGCGGACGGCGCGGGCGCCGCGGUGACCGAGAAGAAGAGGACGCGAGCUCAUGCAGGAAGUGUAAGACAGGUCAGUCGAGAUCGAAGUCGCGAAUGGGCUUGCCGGUGUCGGGAGAUUCCUUGGCCUUCUUCACCGCUUCCUGAAACUUUUUCUCCAGGAGACCGAUAGCGCACAAGUA
rnacentral:rRNA from 1 species